GAAGAUAUUGCCAGGCAUUCUGCAGGACACAGACAGAAGAGACUAAUGAACUUUGCCAAUAGUCACUGAAUUCUGAAGAUAAUUUCAUCAAAUGGGAAGCAAGAUUCCACUUUUGAAUAUAAGAAAACAGAGCAUCAGAAAAAAUUGAGUUACCUACACAGCAUAUCUAGAAGCUGAGAGUCUGGCAAUAAGAGACAACUCUAGCAGAGGGCAGUGUACUGUGAACUCUGCCCCAACUUGACCACAGAAGAAAACUUCCAACUUGAACACGAGCCUCUCAUGAGCAAUGGAUCUUCUGGUCCAUCCAGUAAUAAGAAAUCAAGGAUGACUAAAAUCUCAUGCGGACCCUCAAGAACCUUGCAACCAAGGGUAUGAACAAGAAGUCGGGGGCAUGGCUCAGUGAGCAGCCAUGAUGUAUAGCCCACAGUUGUUUGGGGAUCGUGGUAGAGGGAAGUGAUGAGAUGUUGCUGUACCACUUUCUGCUUUCUUCCUUCCCAGCUGCUUUUACUAUCUUCAUUUU